UUACUAACCGGGCACUGUAGACUGAAAAGUCACCUAGUUUCCGAGAUCUCGACGUUCUACGGACAAAUGGAUAAACAGUCGAAAUUGCCUAGAUCGACUCGGCUAUUGAACCUGGUCAAGAAUAUAUAUUAAUGGGUAAAACCUUGGCAUUGGUGGUGUUUUAUAAUUUUAGCUAGAUUUUUUCAAUCAAAAACUUUGAAAGCUGGGCCAUGUCUAAAUGGGUCUAAAUGUAAUUCCGAGAAUACCCAGCAGCUUGUCAGUCAUGAAUCACACUCCCAAAUUAAACAUAACUAGCAUGCAACGCCGUUCAAUUAUACACAAAAAAUCUAUUCCCAGAACUAUUCAAGAAAUUUUAACUCACACGCACACACUGCCACACAGUCCUAUGGAGAAGCCCGUAAUUGUACAAUUACCCAGCAGAAGGAGUCCAACCCUUUAUUUCGACCUUUGCAUGGGAAAAUGCGGCAUCGGAGCUUCCGGGGGACUGGGCCCAUUUUCAUUCAGACGACAAGUCAACACGUGAAGCUAUGUGACUUAUUUGUGAAAACGCAUACUUAAGUAUGCACAUA